UACGAAGGGGGCUAGCGUUGCUCGGAAUGACUGGGCGUAAAGGGCGCGUAGGCGGCUCAUACAGUCAGAUGUGAAAUUCCUGGGCUUAACCUGGGGGCUGCAUUUGAUACGUGUGGGCUUGAGUGGGGAAGAGGGUCGUGGAAUUCCUGGUGUAGCGGUGAAAUGCGCAGAUAUCAGGAGGAACACCGAUGGCGAAGGCAGUGUUCUGGGCCAGUACUGACGCUGAGGAGCGAAAGCGUGGGGAGCAAACAGG
rnacentral:rRNA from 1 species